rnacentral:lncRNA from 1 species
UAUCUGGCCAUGAAAAUCCUUCUUCAUUCUCUGAACCACCUCCCAAGAUCUUCGGAGCCGUUCCUCCUCCCCCCGCUUCUUGUGAUCAUCAUAUGCCAAUAAAAAGUAAAGUGAAUCAGCAUCUUAAAGUCAAAUGCCUUUUGCAAUGCUUAUCUGAUCAAUGUAAAAAACAUACUUUAUGCGCAGAACAAGUGGUGCAUGAUCCCCCUGGACAUGUUGACACCUCAACCGUCGUUCGCUAUACGUUGUCAAGUGGGUGUUGUCUAACAAAAGCACAGGAGGAGAAAGUACUUGAACUAGCUCAUAGAAUGAGGUCUGAAAUUCCUCUGCAUG